rnacentral:rRNA from 1 species
AUUGAACGCUAGCGGGAUGCCUUACACAUGCAAGUCGAACGGCAGCAUAAGAGAGCUUGCUCUCUUGAUGGCGAGUGGCGAACGGGUGAGUAAUGUAUCGGAACGUGCCCAGUAGUGGGGGAUAACAUCCGGAAACGGGUGCUAAUACCGCAUAAUAACCGACACCACAUGGUGUAAGUUUGAAAGAUGGCUCUGCUGUCACUUAUAGAUGACCUUGCGGUGCAUUAGCUAGUUGGUGGGGUAAUAGCCUACCAAGGCCAUGAUGCAUAGCCGACCUGAGAGGGUGAUCGGCCACAUUGGGACUGAGACACGGCCCAA